rnacentral:rRNA from 1 species
GGGUGGAUCAGUGGCGAACGGGUGAGUAACACGUGAGCAACCUGCCCCCUACUUCGGGAUAAGCCUUGGAAACGAGGUCUAAUACCGGAUAUGAGCACCUACCGCAUGGUGGGUGUUGGAAAGUUUUUCGGUGGGGGAUGGGCUCGCGGCCUAUCAGCUUGUUGGUGGGGUAAUGGCCUACCAAGGCGUCGACGGGUAGCCGGCCUGAGAGGGCGACCGGCCACACUGGGACUGAGACACGGCCCAGACUCCUACGGGAGGCAGCAGUGGGGAAUAUUGCACAAUGGGCGAAAGCCUGAUGCAGCGACGCCACGUGAGGGAUGACGGCCUUCGGGUUGUAAACCUCUUUCAGCAGGGAAGAAGCGAAAGUGACGGUACCUGCAGAAGAAGCGCCGGCUAACUACGUGCCAGCAGCCGCGGUAAUACGUAGGGCGCAAGCGUUGUCCGGAAUUAUUGGGCGUAAAGAGCUCGUAGGCGGUCUGUCGCGUCUGGUGUGAAAUCCCAUGGCUCAACUGUGGGCUUGCAUCGGGUACGGGCAGACUAGAGUGCUG